GCGCUCAGCUCCGGCACGGCGGGAGGAGGCAGCGGCUUCCUAGCGGCCGCCGGCCUGAAAUGCAGCUCCCCGCGCAGGGAAGCCGCGGGUGGGGCGGGUGAGGGGGCAGCGGCACCCCCGGCACGUGCAGCUGGGGUCCCCGCUGAUCUCCGGGCUCCUAACAGCGCAUCUCCCAGGGAUCCGAGAGAGCUUGGGGGGGGAGGGUGUCAUUAACACCUCUUCACUGAGUGCCAGGGGGGAGAAGCCCAGAGAAGGGAAGGAAAGUAAUCAGUGAUCCCUGUGGUCAAGAGUAUCCUGAGCACACCACCUUCCCCCAUUGCUGGCUAGAAGGGAGGGCCAGCAUGGAAAACUAAUGGUGUCCAAGAAGGAGACCACUUCCAGCCUGGGUCUCCUUUCUGGGUAGUGCCACGCAACAGUAGCUUUUAGGCACCCUUUAAAGGUGAGGUGUGAGACUCUGCAGUGAAUUUGUUUCAGCAGGUUUCGAGGGCUCAUCUAGCACUUCUAGUCCUGAAGGCUCCCAAAGCACCUGCCAGAGCCCGCUUUACUGAGCCCCAGCAGCAGGGCCGGAUGAACGCGUAGGCAAAGUAAGCACAAGCCGAUGCCCAAAGGACCUGGCGGUACCCUGGCUGCGCAUCACUGCUUUCGACUAAUGCACCCAAUGCUCCUCGUGACCUGGAUGACAGCAGCAGCUCGGUGCGGCCUAUCGUUACCCUGGCGCAAAGCAGUAGCAGCCCCGAGAUCCAUAUUCUCACGUCUAAAUUGUCUGGUGGUUCCUGGGUAUGUAACACAGCACCAUGCGCUUUGUCCUCUGCUUGCAACCAGCUGCAGACAGAUGUUUCUUUCCAAGGGCCAAGCAAGUCCCAUUGCAAUGCGUUGGCCGGUUACCAGGGUAAAAAGUGAGGUGCGAGAAUCUGAAGGGAAUUUGUUUCAACGGUUUUCGAGGGCUGGUCCAGCACCUCUUCCUGACAGCUCCCAAAGUGCCUUCCAAAAGGAGCCAGCUAGACUGAGCCCCAGCAGCGUGUUGCUGAUGCGUUAGAGGAGAGGACAGUCACCCUGGCUGAGUGCUUCCUGUGAGAGAUGCUACCAUGAAGUAUCUCUUCAGCCAGUGUAUCUGGAGAGGUUUAACAGCUCACAGCCACACCUCUUCACAGUAUGGGGCAGGAAGCAGUCUUUUCUGAGGCUUGAGGACAGGGGUAGUUUAGGUACAAUGCAACAGCCAAGCAGACGAGGACAUCAGGGCAGUGCUCCCUGUGGAGGGGCCAUCUGGGAACUUGACUCAAGUCUGGGCAGUAGGGAGAGGUGGACUGGCUGAAUUUUUUUUUUUUUUUUGAACGGGUCAAAAAUGGUUUUUCCAUAAAAUCAGCUAUUUUUUUCUUUUUAAAUUAAAACCACGCCAGGGCUAUAUGACUCUGGCUUGAAUCUAUACGACUGAAUCUUGAAUUCAGUAGCCACGUGGAGGUACGUGGGCAUCCGGUGCGGAGGCUUCUCAGUGAUCUCUAACAUCACAUCUGAGAUUGGCUCAGCCUCAGAGCAGAUGGCCAAGGACCCUGUUAACAAUAACAGUAAUUUAGGGGUGAACCUCAAAUGUUUUAUUCUAUCAAAAUCAAGAUAUUUAGAUUUGUUUUUCUGGAUUAUUUAAACUCCCCCCUCUCCUUUUUUUUUUUAAUUUGGUGAUUUUUUUUUUUUUUGUAGUUUUGACAGAAAACUGUUUUUUAAAAUGAGCAUUACAACAUUUUUAUGUAGAAAAGAAAAUAAUAAAUGUUUUUAAUUUUUUUUUCUGGAUUAUUUCACCUUUUAUUUUUGUAGUUUUUUAGUGGAAAGUGUCUUUUAAAUUGAACACUGAAAUGUAUUUAGAAAAGACCAAAAAAACCCAUGUUUUGACUUUUCUCAAAUGACCUGCUCUUUCUAAACAUUUCAAAAUGUUAAUUUUUACCCUGGCAAUGUUUUCCACUUUUCUAUCCCUCCCCUAGCCCCAUUUUUUGUGGCUGAAACUGUGCGUCACAUUGAACCCCAAAUUGCAAAUAAUGUUGGUCUUCCCCAAACAUCCUUUAUUCAUUUACUUUUUCUCCAAAAAAUGCUAUGAAUUCCCAGUAAGAGCAUUGAUGCAUUAUAGAUGCAGAGAGAAUAAGAGCGAGAUACCGGGGACAUCUAUUUAUGCAUAAUGGCAAACUCCUAUUGUUAUGGAUGGAGGCAGGAUCUGGCCCUGAAUAAUUCAGCUGUGUCCAUUAGCACAGCAUCUGGCACUGAACCAAGCACUGAUGCAUCCAAGUGUUUACCUACCAGGGUUGCUAUAUGGCUCCCGUCACUAAUGUGUGAGAGCAACUGUUCACAACUGCUAGUGAAAACAGCUCUCAACCCCAUGUGGAGAUGCACUGGAGGGAAUCAUGGAGGCUCCUGCUGUUACAGUUCCACCAUCAAGCCUGGUACAACUUCUCUGCAUUAAUCCUCCUCCUGGAGGCAGGAGAGAUAAGGAUUUAAGCAGUGCCUCAGACAUGGCAGAUUAAAGUCACCCUACGCAGAGGGCCCAGCACAAGGUUUAUACACCCCGUUUAAACCCUAUCUUGGGCAUGUAUGUAGGAUUUAGACAACACAAAGCACUUGGGCGCAGAGGUGGAAUUCAUUCUGGCGGGCUCUCCCACCCUGACUGAACGGGAAACUGCAGCCCGGGAUAAAAAUACAUAAGACAUUGAAAGCUCAGGGCUAGGCAUUCACUAGGAACAUCAGUACCAAGGCUCCCUUUGACUUUUAAAAAUUACAAAUGCACAUUGCCAUAAAUAUUUAACUUUGCAAAGUUAAAUGCCAACCAACCUGGGCAAUGCCUUCCAGAUGCUAAUACACUCGCGGUAAGCUGCAGCCUGACCUCUUGUUUUCUGCUCCAGGUUUGUUUCCGAGGGAACUUUCUGCUGGUAAUAGAAUAUUAUCACUGUGUGCGUCAGCAUCCCUGUUGCAGUGGGAUUAGGGUCACAGUUGCUAACAACACUGAGCAGCCACAGCAUAUGGGAGUAGAAGUGUAAAACUCAGAGGAAUUCAGUGAGUGGAUUUUAAUUCAGACAGAUCCAGCUAAUUAAAUCAUCACUUGAAAAGAAAGAUUGCAUGUGAAACACAGAAUGUGUGUUUUUUAUACACAGUUGCCAAUGCCUCUAAAUUAAGCUAGCAGUCCUGCCUUCGCUCUGAACCACGGCAUUCUCAUAAAACAUGCUCUGAAGAUUAUAGCCAUUUUUCUCCUCUAAUUAAACAAACUAGAUAAACUUAUUUUAAGUUUACCAGUUAAAUGUGGGGCCUACACUGGCAAGAUUAAUUACUCAUUUCAGGAGCCCACAUUGAAAUAUCUUACAGGCAUCUGAUUUUCAGAGUGCUGUCACUUCAGAUGCCCAAAAAACUGAAGGAUCUCAAAUCACUGGUAAGAUUAAAAAAAAAAAAAAACUUUAGGCAAAAGAUUGGCCUUAACCCUAAAUUGAUUUGGAGUCGACACAUCAAGACAGCUUGGUGCUGUUGCUUAAAUGCUUAUUUUGUAUUUAGUGUUAAGGGUCUUUUUUCUUUUUAAUAGGGUGUAUGGAAUAUCCAGAAGGAGCUAUAAUUUUUCAGCAUCAUUCUAGCUCCUUGGAUAAAAGAUACAUUUACACUUAACAAUUCCCAGACUCGACACGGCCCUACAACUGCUUUGUGCUAUACCACCACUGCAAAGUGUUCCCGAACCUGACCCAGAUUCAUCCCAGAGCAGGGGAUGCUUUGGUGGCAGAGGUCAGUGAACCAGUUCAUAUGCCAUGCCUCUUUUUUUUUUUUGUUUUUUUCUUUCCUGCUGCUCAUCAUCUGCUGCUGUAUUUGGCCCUUAAAGCAAAUGGCACAAGCUAGAGUAGUUUUCAGGAUGCUCUAUCUCCUUGUUCCCUACUAAAAGGUUUUAAAAGCAUUUCCCUUAUUUGCGUUCUUCUUAGUUCCUCAGCCAAAGAUAUGAACCUAGAUUUCUAAAAAUAAGGUCGGUUAGAAAAUGCAGCAAUAGCAUUGCUUGGCCCUUUGUCAGCGCCUCCAUCUGAGGAGCUCAAAGAACUUUGCAAAGCCUACAGCAACCCGCUGGUUUUGCUUCAACCAGUUACCAAAUGUCCAGUAACUUUAGCAGGACAAUAUGGCCUGUUAGGGAACGAAGCCUGGCACCAACUCCUCAGCAAUUCACUUCCUUGUACUUAAGAGAAAGACAAACUGAGCCAGAGAGAGUCGGAGCCCAAUUCUCCUGCUGUACAGCUGGGCCAGGGCUUUCACUGAGCUUCCUCUGUAUUGAAUAACCAAGCACGUUUUCCUUUUUUGAUUAAGAGCUGGAGUUGACAAUCAAAUUAAACACAACUGCAAAAAAAAAAGGGGCGGGGGGAUAGGGGUGUAUUAAAAAACAACUGGGCUUAUUAGGUGAGAAAACAUUAGCAGAGCCUCAUACUUUCAAACAGGAAAAUUGGUUUCAACUGUAAAAUUAGCUGCUCUUGGUUACCACUGUGCCACCCCUCUGAAUCUGGGAUAGGAUGAGCCAAGUAGAAACAAAAAGCACAAGCAUUAACAACUUCAAGCCUGCCCUGGGCUCCCUCUUUGAUUUUUGCUCCAGCAGUCAGGCAGAAAAGAUGUAUUUUUAUUUGCAUCAGAAGCUAUGAGGAAGGGGACUGAAACACCUCAUUAAACCUUUACAAGUUCUUUUUUUUAAUAAUAUUUCCAGGAACUAGAUCAUUUUAAGUCCUCUUUUUUUUCUCAAAUGGGCAAGCUGAGUCACCAAGAAACUAGAGACUUUUUAGGAGAGCUUGUCACUGAGAAUAGGUAAAAAUCUGAAGAGCUCAUUUCCCAAAUAGGGCAGAUUUGUUGGAGUUCAGCAGAGCACGUGCUGAAUACUUUUGAAAAUCUGGCCAUUUUUGUAUGUGUAAAGAUAGAAACACCUUUGGAAAUCUCAGCUGUGGGCAUUGAGCACCUGAUGAUCGGGCCCUGAAUACUUUUGAAAAUCUGGUUUUAAGCAACUUGUCUCUAAAGUCAUAGAGCAGUUUGCAGCAAGGCUUGGGACAGAACAGAAGGUUUCUAUCAUUUAGCAGCAAUAAUUUGCUUGGUGAAGUGUAAUCAGAAAAUGCCCUUUACCCAGGAAGGAUUCUAAUCACAAAACAAGUCCUCUUCACUGUUAUCGUGAUUGUCAUGACUAAAAUAAGUUUGGGGGUUUUUAAACAAUAAUAAAACUCAAGAGAAAAAAGGCCUAUCAUAUGUCUCUUUCCUUCCACUCCCAGGAAAUAUAUUUACUGAAAAAGACAAAUCAAAUCUCUUUAAAAAGCACGCUUGCUGGAUUAUUGGCCAGAGGUGAUUUGAUUUUUACUGGUGGAUAGCAAAAUGCUCCAAAAAAAGAGAGAAGAUUCUAACAGCUGUAUUUUGUCAGGCUGAUCAGGCAUAAAAGUAUCCCGUGUCUAACUUAUUUCCUCUGUCACACUGUUUUAUGACAUCAGCCUUCCAAACAAGCAAAUGGCCAUUAAAAUAUUUAUCUAUCUUCA